rnacentral:sRNA from 1 species
AAUCUCCGGUAGGUAAGGCUACCGCAGGGAUACGGACUGCUGCCGCGAAGUAGUGGAGACACUACGAGAAGGUUAACAGACUGCGUCGAACACAAGGCGCAAUCUAACGUAGUUUCACCGCCCUGCGGAGUUAAAGCCAGAAUGGU